CAGAUGGAGCUUUGUUGCUUGCGAUUUGCGAAUUUGGAUUUUGAUCAAGGAAUAGAUUCGGCAAAGAAGACCUCAUUUGUGGGGUUCUGGAAUGGGCGGUAGGAGAGGAUCAAGAGCAUAUUGAAGGUACAGGUCAUACUAGAGUUGUCUCUGAAUUUGCAUUAGAUCUUUUGUAAUGUCAAGAGAGUGCCAUGCAGGGUUAAUUGAAUUGUGUAAGAUUAAGGAUCCUAUCCUUGGGUUACUUCCUUAAUUAUAUCUUUCUUCAUGUUCUAAACUUCUUCAUUUCAAACAAUUCCAAUUGUUAUUAAAAUAUAAGAGUA